UCAGCCAAUAAAGUCCACAGGGCACAUUAUCAUCAAAACGGCUCCUAGAACUGCAUUCCGCACGAAGUGAUUUCAGACAUCCAGCAAGGAAUGUUUGAAGAUUAGAAUUUUCUCACAUGCUUCUGGUUAAGAACAGUCUUAUGGAGGAUAUAAGGGUAAUGAAUCUGAAGGAAGGCCUUUUGUAGGCCGCGGGGUGAAGCAGGUGCUGCUAUUUUUGGAUUCUGACGCGCUGACGACGCCGUAUUGUUGGAUGAGUGGCAGUUUGGGGAAGAAUAAAAAACUGAUAAAAUUAAGAACAAUGCAGUUAUUCUGGCUCUAAAAUUGCAGGGUGGUCAGGAACAGGGCCAUGCACAGGGCCAAGGAUCCUAUAAUUUCAUGCUUUGGGUGCCUAAUGGAGUAAUUAGUAUCUGCGCUGACAUAUUAAUCCCUCCAAAGAGGGACUAAUGACCCCAUGAAAUUGAGGGUCAUUAAGUGUUUAAAUGCAGGUAUGCGUGUGUGUGUGGGGGUGGGAAGGAAGAGUAUUCCAUCCAUUAGCGAGGAAUGGAUCAUUCUGUUGGGUAAAAGAAAGGGAGCGGAGGAUUACUCAACGGGGGAGUUCGUGCCGUCUCAGAGAGGCGAGGGCAUUAAGCUGCCACUCCACACCGGAGUGGAAAAUGGAUAUGACCACGGAAAGACUUCAGUUACACAUUUUUAUCCAUUUAUCAGUCUGCGAAAAAACAAGUUUCAUGCUUCAUGCAUUUACUUAUAAGCCAGCUAAGAACACAUUUAGAUUUAAUGCAGGCCAAAAGUAUGGACCGGUGAGGAGGGCAUUGCUUGUCCCGGGUGAACUGGCUCCUUUGCGCUUGCCAUGGUCAGGUUUUCAGUGCUUACCCUGUCGGUGGUACAGGAAGAUUCUUUGCUAGCGCAGCCCGUUAGCGUGCUUCUCCCUGGAAAACGCUCUUGAGCGAAGACUUCGCCCUCUCCUGCAAUCCACGGAACUGCAAUUUGCCGGGAACAUUACCACGCAACAUUAACCACAUAUUGAAAAGCCGCGUGCGACCUUACACGCAAUUUUCAGCCACUUUUAUGCUGACAAACUGUUGUCUAAACAAGCGCAGUCAUCGGUGAAAACAUCUUUUCCCUUACAACCAGGGCCUGUUUUCAGCGUUCAGCUUUGUAACGUGGCGUUCAGUUGCAAUCUGCAGCAUGUAUCUACAGCAUAUCCAUAAUAAUGCAGUAUAAUGUGGUGACUGGCAUUAAGCAGUGACUAAUUAGGUAAAGA